UUAUUCUUGAUUUGCUGCAAUUGGUGUUUGGGUGUGGUUUGAUUAGUAGGUUCUUCAUGUACGUUUUGUUGUUCCUAUUAUUAACAAGUGGAAUAGUAUUCAGAUAUUCUAAACAAGUCAAAUAGUAUGCCUUUCAAAGUAUUCCAUUUCAUAUCGAAUAGUAAAGUCGCUCAUAAUGAUUUUCCAUUCUUCUCCCGGUUCAUCCUCUGUUUAGCUCAUUGUUCAUUUAUAUAUUGCAUUUGCCACGAUGAACCAUCCUCACUCUUUGUCUAUCUUUUUUUGAUAACAUCCAGGUUUGUUAUGGACGAGUUAGACCUUUCAAGUGGAUUGUUUGAGAACCCACUGGCAAGAAAAGGGUUAACAACUAUUUCAAUCUCCGUUGGAUUGAAGUGAUAAAGAGUGCAUUGGAGGAUGAGGUGUAGUAGUUUACCACUCCCCCAUUAGAUUUGUAUCCAAGUGACAUUGUAUACAGUAUAUGGAAUGGAAAAGGUACAACAAUAUAU
rnacentral:lncRNA from 1 species